AUUGAACGCUGGCGGCAGGCCUAACACAUGCAAGUCGAGCGGAUGAAGGGAGCUUGCUCCUGGAUUCAGCGGCGGACGGGUGAGUAAUGCCUAGGAAUCUGCCUGGUAGUGGGGGAUAACGUCCGGAAACGGGCGCUAAUACCGCAUACGUCCUGAGGGAGAAAGUGGGGGAUCUUCGGACCUCACGCUAUCAGAUGAGCCUAGGUCGGAUUAGCUAGUUGGUGGGGUAAAGGCCUACCAAGGCGACGAUCCGUAACUGGUCUGAGAGGAUGAUCAGUCACACUGGAACUGAGACACGGUCCAGACUCCUACGGGGGGCAGCAGUGGGGAAUAUUGGACAAAGGGCGAAAGCCUGAUCCAGCCAUGCCGCGUGUGUGGAGAAGGUCUUCGGAUUGUAAAGCACUUUAAGUUGGGAGGAAGGGCAGUAAGUUAAUACCUUGCUGUUUUGACGUUACCAACAGAAUAAGCACCGGCUAACUUCGUG
rnacentral:rRNA from 1 species